rnacentral:rRNA from 1 species
GACGAACGCUGGCGGCGCGCCUAACACAUGCAAGUCGAACGGAGCUAUUUCGACAGAUCCCUUCGGGGUGACAUUGGCUUAGCUUAGUGGCGAACGGGUGAGUAACACGUGAGGAACCUGCCCUUCAGAGGGGGACAACAGUUGGAAACGACUGCUAAUACCGCAUAAGCCCACAGCUCGGCAUCGAGCAGAGGGAAAAGGAGUGAUCCGCUUUGAGAUGGCCUCGCGUCCGAUUAGCUGGUUGGUGAGGUAACGGCCCACCAAGGCGACGAUCGGUAGCCGGACUGAGAGGUUGAACGGCCACAUUGGGACUGAGACACGGCCCAG